GGGGGUAUGGCGCAGCUGGUAGCGCGUCUGCAUGGCAUGCAGAAGGUCACGGGUUCGAGUCCCGUUACCUCCACCA
rnacentral:tRNA from 1 species